rnacentral:rRNA from 1 species
AGCCUGAUCCAGCCAUGCCGCGUGUGUGAAGAAGGCCUUCGGGUUGUAAAGCACUUUCAGCGAGGAAGAACGCCUUGGGAUUAAUACUCUCGAGGAAAGACAUCACUCGCAGAAGAAGCACCGGCUAACUCCGUGCCAGCAGCCGCGGUAAUACGGAGGGUGCAAGCGUUAAUCGGAAUUACUGGGCGUAAAGCGCGCGUAGGUGGCUAAGUCAGCCAGGUGUGAAAGCCCCGGGCUCAACCUGGGAACGGCAUCUGGAACUGCUUGGCUAGAGUGCAGGAGAGGAAGGUAGAAUUCCCGGUGUAGCGGUGAAAUGCGUAGAGAUCGGGAGGAAUACCAGUGGCGAAGGCGGCCUUCUGGACUGACACUGACACUGAGGUGCGAAAGCGUGGGUAGCAAACAGGAUUAGAUACCCUGGUAGUCCACGCCGUAAACGAUGUCAACUAGCCGUUGGGUCCCUUGAGGACUUAGUGGCGCAGCUAACGCAAUAAGUUGACCGCCUGGGGAGUACGGCCGCAAGGUUAA